AGACUCACACACACACACACACACGUACAUGCCGUACAGCAGCAUUGUGCUUUGUCAUUAGCAUCACCAAGCAGGUUUUAUGUUGUAUUCUUACGUCAAAGGAUGCGAGAGAUAGGGGGUGAUAAAUAAUUAAUUCUCAUUUAGAUAGUUAAACUUUUUAAUUAUAAACUAACAUCAUUGUAAGUGGAUACGCCAUUUUAUCUUAAUGGGUCAAUAAGUAAUUAAUGUACAUUUAUAUUGGAUCAUGGGCAUGAGUUUCCAGGUCUUUUAUUGUAGGUGGGGUUUAUCUUUUUGGGGUUAGGGGGAUUAGGUUUAGGUAUGACUCAUAAGGAAUUAAUAAGGCAUUUAUUAUUCAUUUAAUUCAUAUCUGACUACACCUUCCAUAACAGUUGAUAUUAUCAGUUGAAGAUUUGUCUGCAUUUAAUGUUCUUUGUUACACUUGAUGAGCUCUUAUGGUUUGGUUAAUGCAUACUCGCUAUAUGAUGUUAUCAGUAAAUUUACACCUGCAUACUGCUUAAUAAAAGGUCCAUUCUUGACAAACAUUUCAUUAUUUAGGAUGCAACUGCAAACGAUAUCCCAAAUGAUACUUUCGCCGU
rnacentral:misc_RNA from 1 species